rnacentral:rRNA from 1 species
ACGGCUGAGUAACACGUGGGCAACCUGCCCUCCUCUUGGGGAUAGCCUCGGGAAACCGAGGAUAAUACCCGAUACUUCAAUGUGGCCGCAUGACGACAUUGAGAAAGCUUUUGCGGAGAAGGAUGGGCCCGCGGCCUGUUAGCUUGUUGGUGGGGUAGAGGCCUACCAAGGCAAUGAUGGGUAGCUGGGUUGAGAGACCGACCAGCCAGAUUGGGACUGAGACACGGCCCAGACUCCUACGGGAGGCAGCAGUGGGGAAUCUUGCACAAUGGGCGAAAGCCUGAUGCAGCGACGCCGCGUGCGGGACGAAGGCCUUCGGGUUGUAAACCGCUUUCAGCAGGGACGAGGCGAAAGUGACGGUACCUGCAGAAGAAGCCCCGGCUAACUGCGUGCCAGCAGCCGCGGUAAUACGUAGGGGGCAAGCGUUAUCCGGAUUCAUUGGGCGUAAAGCGCUCGUAGGCGGUCUGUUAGGUCGGGAGUUAAAUCCGGAGGCUCAACCUCCGUUCGCUCCCGAUACCGGCAGACUUGAGUUUGGUAGGGGAAGGUGGAAUUCCUAGUGUAGCGGUGGAAUGCGCAGAUAUUAGGAAGAACACCAGUGGCGAAGGCGGCCUUCUGGGCCAUAACUGACGCUGAGGAGCGAAAGCUAGGGGAGCAAACAGGAUUAGAUACCCUGGUAGUCCUAGCUGUAAAC